rnacentral:lncRNA from 1 species
GGGAGAAGCCCUGGGCGGCGGCAAAGGUGUCCUCUUGCUGGUCGUAGUCGGAGGAGAGGGCGACGCGGGGAAGGAAGCGGGAGGAGAGGGAGAAAGUGGGUUUGAGGAAAACGGUAGAAAUGGAGAUGGGUUUGGCGUUAGGGGUGAGGGAGAGAGAAGAAGAGAAGCAUUUGGGAGAAGAGAGAGGAUGCUGUGUUCUGAGAGUGAGAGUUGGGAGUGCAAGAGAAGUUGCAGAGGUAGACAUUGUUACAGAUAAGGUUUUGUAAGAAAGGAGAAGAAGUAGGGUUUAUGAAGGAAUGGGAGAGUUUAGGUGAGUGAGGAGUGUGAUAUUUAUUGGCAAGAAAGAAGAAAGAGCAUACCGAUAAGGUUUAUUCAUCAUCCAUUUACUACUCUAUCCUUCAUCUUUUUCACUCUAGACAGAUAUUUUCUUCUUCCUUCUAAAACUUGAAGUCUUUUGUGGGAAUUGAAAUAUAUGUCGACGUGGACAUGCUAACGUUCAGAUAUUUUGGGUAUGGUGAAAUGAAUAGGCAUAUAUAUAUAUAUAUAUAUAUAUAUAUAUAUAUAUAUAUAUAUAUAUAUAUAUAUAUAUAUAUAUAUAUACGGCAAUUACUCCCUACACCAUCAGAGACACCUUCUAGCACCUCUUCAUUCCUGUUUUGCCCUCCAGUAUAAAUGGAAGUAAAAUAAGUAUUACUCUAAAUUGAUGUAAUUAUUCGUCAGUGGAUGUCAACAUUCGAGGUAAAAUGGAUUUCGACAUCCGUUUGGACAAAUUCAAAUGCUUAUAAGAUUUGGCCUGUGAACUUCUCGACAGUAUAUUUGGUCAAAUGAGAACUAAACAUUAGCUGAACAGUUGGAGCUGCCCCAGAACUAACAGAGAUCAUCUUGCCUUCUUUAAAUAGAAACUCUUUCAAACUAGUAACUUGUAUUCUCUCAAGCACUCCUAACCAUAUUUCUCCAAUUUCUUUCCACCCUUUAUCCAAAAUUUGCGUCUCAUUCAUCUUAAUCUUAUCAGUGGCUUGGAAAUGUGUAUAUUGAGGAGUAAAACUAGACACACUAUGUCGUUUUUUCUCAGAACCAAGACCCCUUGCCAGACCAUCUGCUGAACUUCCGGCAUGGAAAUUUUCAAUUCUAGCAUCCAUUGAUAAUCGUCUAGUUUUGUUAGGAAUGUCAACAGGAUUACCAUUCGGUCUAACGGCUUCUCUCGCUUUUGCAUCUUUUAGAGUGAACGGACUAUGGUUGAAACUAUUAUCAGAUGAUGUUGGUAACACAUAUUGCUGGUUCGGAGCAAGCUAAAGUAGAGCAACCGUUAGGCAUGAUAGCUUGUCAUUGGACAUCCUCAGUUGCUUCUCAGCCUCAGAUAAAGUUUUCAGAGCUUGGCGCAACUUUUCCAUGUCUUCAUUGGACAAUGGUUGUCUAGGAAAGAACUUCCUUCUUCGCCUUUCUUUUGUGAAAUCAUAGGUCCCAACAAGUAUAUCUUUAAUUACUGUAGCAAGUUGUGACAUUAAAGCCAAUGGCUCCACAAUGGUUUCCAUUAUCACUCUUAAAUUCUUCACGGUGUUAAUUGUGCCUGCAGAUAAUGCUAAAUCAAGCAGAUCCACCAAUUUCUCAUCAGUGAUUAGCCCUACCAAUUCCUGACAAGAGGAACGGAUAUUCUCUGUCCAAGUAAACAAAUUUGUUCAAGGGUCAUCUCAGCAUCUCUCAUAGAUCCAUCCGACCUUGAUGCAAUCAGUUUCAAGGCAUCCUUCUCAAUUUCUAGACCUUCUUUGGUUGCAAUCCACUAUAGAGUAUGUAUAAUAUUUGCAUCCUUCAUCUUUGGGAAAAAUGAUUUUUGACACCUGGAUAUUAUUAUAUGAGGCAAGACAUCAAGACUACAACUGGCAAGGAUAAAAACAACACGUCUAGGUGCUCGUCAAUGACUUUCGAUAUAGCAUUCCAACAAUCUGUCGACAGAGUAUCACAGUCAUAAAAAAAUAAACUAGUGGAAGGUUGCUCUUCGGGGGAGCAUACAAAUGGAAAAUCGGAGGUAUUGUUGGUAAUAUUCCUAGUGUUAAUCCUAGUGGUGGUUGCAGUUGUGAAUGGGGUGUUGACUUUGGAGUUGCCUGCGGCGGCAGAGGCGAGGUAAUAUGGAAAACCGAUGAAGGUGGAAUUGUAGUAGGAGUUGAAGGCCGAAGGAACUGUGGAGGAGGAACGUAAGAUUGCAGUGAUGGUGACGGUUGUGAACGUGGCGACGGUGUGGGAGAAGAUGGUGGAGCUGAACGUCUUGGUGAUGGAGGAGGUAGAGAACAUUUUGGCGGGGGAGAAGAUUGAUUUGAGAAUGGGGAGGUGAUGGAGAAGUAGAAGGGGUAGGUGUUGGAGAAGUAGAAGGAGUUGGUGGUGGCGGUGGAUGAACCAACAUUGGUGGAGGAGGGGAAUUCUCUGGUGCCGGCAGAAGAGAUUUUUUCGGCAGAGAUACGGUAGGUGGAGAAGAGAUUUCUGGGGUGGUGGUGAAGUUGAUGUGAUAGUAAAGGUGAUGACUGUGAAGGUUGCGACGAUGGUUCCGAGGGUGGCGGAGACUCUACGUCGUCCGAUGACUACUGCAACGAGGACAGCGCGGAGGCUUGGUGGUGGUGGAAGGAGCAACACCCCUUAAUUAAAUAGGGUUAAAAAGUAAAAAAUAAAGUAAAAAAAGUUAAAAAAAAAGUUAUUUAUGUAAUUAAAAAAAAGUUGAUGAAAAUUGGAGAGGUAGAAGAUAGAAAUGUGGCAAUAGAAGGAACAACACCAUAUAUAUAUAUAUAUAUAUUAAAUUUAUUAGGUAAACAAUAAUUAUUGUUUACAAAUGUAAUUACUAUGUGGAGUGAUAUAUUUACCAAGGACUUACACCUUAAGUUAUUUUCACACUCAUAAGUAAUGGUCUUUUCUCCUUUUUCAACUUCAAAUUUCUUCUUCUUUCAACGACAUUUAAUUUAUUUUAUUUUUAUUUAAAUGGCUUCUUUCAUUUUUCUUCAUCAAAUUUUCUUCAUUUUUCUUCACCUUCGUUUGAAAUAGAAACACACCUUGUUUUUCUUGCAUAUAUUUUUGUUUUUAGAAUAUAAACUUGGUAUUUACUUUUAUUAUAUUUUGCAUGUACGAGAUUUUGAAAUCUGAUUUGUAAAAGUAUUUUCGAAAUUUUGAAAAUCAUAAGAUAGUUUUAGUGAUAACUAAAUUUUUGAAAUUUGAUUUUGAAAUUCGAUUCAGAGGGGCACUGGAUUUCGAAAUCUGGUUAAUAAACUUAACGAAUUUAGGAAUUCACCAUAUUUCAAAAUUGGGAAGUAACUGAAUUUUGAAAUCUAUUUACGUUUUCUAUCAUAUUUCAAAAUCUUGUUAAGUUUUCUAUUGAAUUUCAAAAUUCAGUUAAGAUUUCUCCCAAAUUUCAAAAUCUGGUAGUGUUUUUUUAAAAAAUUGAAAUAUAUUUUUUAUGUUUGUUUUUCUUUUUUCUUAAAUUUAUUUUGGUUGCUUUGUUUUAUGAAUUUCUUGAUCUCCAUUAUUAUUGGAUAAGUGAGGUCUUUUUUGCUUAUGUCAUGUCAUAGGUGUUUACAGUUUAAUGUGAAAGAUUAUCCUUUAAGUUUUAUGAAAUUAAGUAAAUUCCAACUUCAUGUCAGAUUUCUCUUAUUUUAUAAAUGAAAUGUGAGAGGGAGAUAACACAAAUAAUUUUACAACUAAUCAGAUUUUCCCCACGCUUAAUGAGUUAAUUCAAUGGAUUCGAGGGGUUGCUUUUGAUCUUAGUUUUUUGAUUGUCAUUAUAAGAUUUGAUAAAGCUAAUGGUGAACCUAAAAGAAAGAUAUAUGUAUUAAUAGAAUGUGAAAGAGCUGAAAAGUACAAAAAAUACGAAUUUGGUGUUCAACCUAGUAUAAAAAAAUGUAAUUGUCCUUUUAAAUUGAGAGCUAGAUCAAUUUCUAAUGGAGAGAGGAGGGGUAUUGAAGGUAACAUGUGGAUAUUAUAACCAUGAAUUGUCACAAACUUUAGUUGGUCACUCUUUUGUUGAGAGGUUAAAAUCCACUAAACAUUCAUUGUUUGUUGAGAGGUUAAAAUCCACUAAUGAGAAAUGAAUUAUAACUGUUGCUAAUGAUGUUAGAACGUGAUAAAUACAUCCACUAGAUAUAUCUGUAGACAAAUCUAAGGUGGUAGGUGACCUCUUUUGGGCACAUCUUGAUGUAGUAAAAUUGUUAAAUGUAUUUAAUAUUGUUUCUUUGAUGUAUAAUACUUACAAAACCAAUAAAUAUCUAUUUUUAUUACUUGAGAUAGCUGGUGUCACAUCAACAUAGUUGACUUUCUCAAUUACCUUUCUACUCUUAUCAAAUAAACGAAAAAAACAAUUUCACUUCAAACUUCAGAAAAAAAUAUCCUGGAAAAAACCUUAAACAUCUAAUGUGGAGGGUAGCAACAACCACAUAUCCACAACAAUGAGAGGCUGAAAUGAGGAAUAUGAAAGACAUAAAUUUAGAGGCAUUUAAAUACUUUCUUGCCCUUCCACCUAGGUAUGUAUUCAGUCUUAUAAAUAUUUCAUAUACUCACAAUUCACAUUUAAAUGCUUGACAAGUUAUAUUUACUUAUCCGAGGUUUUGGUCAAGAUCUAGAUUCACCUCUAGAUCACAAUGUGACACUUUUGUGAACAACAUGUGCGAGGGCUUCAAUAGUGUGCUAGUUCAUAGUAGGUCUAAGCUAAUUAGUACCAUGUUAGAAGACAUUAGGGUUUACAUUAUGAAGAGAUGGGCUACCAACAGGACAAAGAUGACAUCAUAUCAAAGUUCAAUAUGCCCUAAGGUUUUGAACAUAUUUCAAAAGGAGUCAUGGUUAACUAGAUAUUGUUAUCAAGGUAACUUUUAUAAAGUCUAUUUCCAUUCAUGGUUAGGCAUUUAUAUUGAUCCAGCUAAUUGUGUUGUCAAUUUAUAUUCAUUACAGGUGGUCAAGAGAAAAAUUAUUUGAAGUCAAACAUAUUUCACAAUUUGGACAACAAUUUGUUGUGCAUGUUGACAACAUGGACUACACAUGUAGAAAAUGGACAAUUACUAGCAUUCCUUGUACUCAUGCCAUAACUGCAAUGAAAUUUUUGAAUAUAAAUGCAGAAGACUACAUUGGCCACUAGUUUAGGAAGUCUACUUAUGAAGAGACCCACAACACAAUUAUUUACUUUAUCAAUGGUCAAUGUGUCUGGGAUGUUACACCCUAUUCAGAUGUAUUACCACCAAAGAAGAGGACAAUGCCAGGAAGGCCCAAGAAAAAACGAAGACUGAAGCAUUGGGAGUUGAAGAAGAAUGACAGUGAAAUAAGAAAGGGUGGACACAGAAAAAAAAGGUGGCAUGUGCGAAGAACUUGGACAAAACAAAAAAGGUUGUCCACAAAGACCUCCAACAACAGAGGUUCCCACUGCCCAUUCUACUGAACAAACAGAAGUCACCCAACCUCCAUCAAUAGUAGAGAUUCCUACUGCCCAAUGUCCUGAACAACCACAAUGCAGCCAACCUUCUGCUGGAAAAUAGGUAGGCUUCUUUUCUACACCAAGAGGGGGGGGGGGAUGAAUUGGUGUUGUAUCAAAAAUAACUUCUUUUGGCAAUCUUGAAAAGUAAGUAUGAAACUUUUUGAACUUUCUUGAAAUGUAAGCAAUGAAAAUUUGUAUGUAGCGGAAAAACGUAGUUGACUGUGUUAUAUGUAAAGUCGACUGCAAAGAAAAAGUGUAGGGAUAGAGAAAAGCAAACACUAUAUUUAUACUGGUUCGGCCAACAAUGCCUACAUCCAGUGUCCUUCCAACCCAGGAAGCAAAUGCACUAUAAUGGUUGUGGUUUUUACAACAAGGAAUUUAUAGAAGACCUCCACGCCAAAAAUAUAAAUCUCUUCUCUAACCCAAAACCAAACUAUAAGCAAUAACAACAGCAAGAAAUGCAACAAGAAUCCCCUCUUCUGCAAUAUGCUAACCACUCUGAACAAUCCUCAGAAUGAACUAUCCCCCUGUAUCACAACAGGUCCAAAACCAGCAGUCUUCACGGAUGCCAAGCUAGAAAAUCAAUUCAGCAGUCUUCAAGGAUGCCAAGCCUCAACGUGAUCAAACACAGAACACCUUCUUGUGCAGAUGUUGAUCAAUCAAUGUGUGCGCAGAAAAUCUCUCUUAAGAAUCUCUUUCAAGAAAGACCAUCAUCGUCUUCUUGGAGAAUUCUUGGAGCUCAAAGAAUUCAAUCUGAAACAGAAAUGAAAUUGUUAGAUCAUCAAAAGUCUCUGAACAAAUCGAGUUCAGCCUAUUUUGUCGCACAAUAAUAAGUUCAUGAAAGUACUUGUGGUUUUCAGUUUUGAAACAUGUGGAGUAAAACAUUUGUAAUGAUGCAUUGCACAUAGCACAUAAAGCAUAUGAACACGUUCCAGCUAUAUAUCAAUCAAUCAACAUAGGAACAUGUAACACAAUUCAUAAACAUGUUCAACAGAUAUCACAAUCAAUCACCACAAGAACAUGUAAUUCAGUAACAACAUGUGCAUGUUAUUAAGCAAUGUGUUGUCAUCAUAAAAAACUAGAUUGAUAUAGAAAUUGUGUUGUCAACAAUCUCAACAAUCUCCCCCUUUUUUGAUGAUGCACAAACAUGAUUAAUAACCAACCAUGUUUGCACAUUCUAAUACAAAACAGAGUAAUCAAAAGAUAUAUUACAGUUAGAACAUUCAAGUACUCUACAUGUAACAUAAUUAAAACAACAACAAAUAUCAAGCAGAAUAUGAAAUAGAAUAACAAUUCUAUCCCUUUCAUAAAGCAUUCAUAAAUCUAUCCCCUUUGUGCAUUAGCAAAAAGGGUAUGCUCUAGAUAUUUUGCUGAUAUUUCGAACAGAGAUACACCAAAACAAAAAAAAUAUAUGCAAUUUACAAGAUGCAUUGAUGCUCUCUCAAUUGCAUAAAAAUGAUCUCUCCCCCAUGUUUAAUCACAUGUAAAUGAUAAUGCCCCCUGAAAUGUAGGCAUGUGAGUAAAAAACGUGUAAAAUGUAAUACUCCCCCUGUCAUUAUGCAUAGAUAUCAAAACUAGUUCAGAUGCACAAUGUAGUGUAUCAUAGAUUAUACAAACAGUAUGCACAGAGUUGUAUCAAAGACAGGAUAACAAACAGUUUUAGUCAAACAAUGAUACAAUCAACAAUCUCACAAUAUUAUCUCAAAUAUGAUAUGUAAAAAUCAAUUUAUAUCAGAGAUAAUAGCAGAUAUUAAGAAUAAACAAUCAAUGAAAGAAUAACCAAAUUCUAGAAUUGGAAUUUAUAACCGUGUUAUGAACAGUCGAUUGCAUUAUUUUCCUAGUCGAAUACAUUGCUUGCCAAAGUUGUUGAAAUUCAUUUGAAGUUCCCAAAGCAAUGUUCUUCCUGCAAAACUUUUCAAAGAUCUUUCCCAGAUCAAGCAUUUUAGUUAAGCAAGAGAUAUAAUCAUGAACAACAGAAGUCAAUAUGCAAAGAUGUGUAACAGAUUGAUAACAGUCUAACAACCGUUAUUUUCAUACUUAAAUUUGAUAUCAAAACACACCCUUUUCUCCUCAUUUUUCAUUCUCUACACACCAAACCUUCCUCACCCCAACAUUAACCUCACCAUUAUCACUCAAAGCCAUUGCUUAGUUCGUCUCUCCCCACUCGAAGGGUUUGCUCUGCGGCUGCUGCAACACACCAAGAACCACAACAGCCCUUUUCGCCUUAUCUUUCACACCACCAGUGUUUCGCCUUUUCCUUGCCAAUACAAGUAUGCACUGACGCACUCCAAUUUACCUUCUUGGUUUUCCUUUUCUUUUGGAUUGAAAGGUUCUUUGACUGUGAUUUUUGUCAAAAUUGUGCCAUGUGCUUUGCUGUUCAUCAUUAGACCCAUUUCAUCAAACUUUUUGCUGGUUAAUUUCCCUUGAAUCAUGUUCCCAUUGUAUUACACUUGGCUGCUUUUUGCAUUGCACAUUCAUGUUAAUGCUUCAACUCUUUGUGAAUAACUGAACCCUUUUGCAAUGCACCGUGAAUCCUUGCAUGCUUGAUUCUUCUUUGUUGUUUAAAAUUGAGUUUUUGAGGGUUAAUUUCCCUUCUCUGGGUGACAUUUCUGUUGUACAUGAAUUUAGCAUUGGGUUAGCGGAGAAGGGGACAAGUCGAGGCACCUGUGGAACGUUCUGCACAGGUCGCGCUCAAGCGCCAAUAUCUGAGGGGGCGCCCGGGCGCACGCGGGUCACACCAGGACCUGCACAUUUUGCUCUGUGUUGCUGUUUCCACUAUCCCCUGUUCCAGCAUGUUUCUAAUUCUUUUUUUUUUCCACUAUUUUUCCAUCAUGUUUUAUGUCUUGUGCAAUCAUGAUUGUGCCAUAAUGAAUGCUUGUUGCAAAUGCCUUUAAAUGUUGCUUGAUUACAAUUGCAAACUUUGUCCUCCAUAUGUUUUUACAGAAAAUGGCAUCUUCAUCGGGCCCCAAGCGAAUCAAAACUACUGCUGCUCAUUCUGAAAGAGGGAAACAGAGAAAAGAACAAAGUCACUCUCAUCUUUUCCUCACCAAAGAGCACCGAAAGAACUUUACCACUGUGCAGAAUAGAAAAUUGCUUAUGGAGAGGAAGGUUGUCUUGUUACCCAGCGAUGUACCACCAUUUCAAGCUGAGAUUAGGAGGAGAUAUUGGGGCACCCUAGCCACUUAUCAAGCACCUGCCAACAUUGUUGUGGUUAGGGAAAUUUAUGCUAAUGCUAGGGUGUACUCUCAAGAUGCUGACCCCUUCAUGAGUUAUGUGCGUGGUAAACGCAUCCCUUUUGAUGCAAGCACCAUCAAUAAUUUUCUGAACACAGUUUGGCAUGGGGAAGAUGAUCAGUGUGAUUAUAGUCAGCUGAAGGCAGGUGUUAUUGAUUAUGAAGAAAUUGAGCAAACACUCUGUCUUCCUGGGGGCACAUUUCAAAGAAACAGGCAACAACAACCCCUUCACAUAAAACGCUCAUUCCUCACCUCACUGAGCAAGCUUUGGAUGUCUGUGCUUCAUGCUAACAUUUCUCCAUGCUCCCAUGUCUCGGACAUCAAUGCCAACCGUGCUGUUCUUUUAUUCUGCAUCAUCACUGGGAGAUCCUUCAAUUUGGGCAGAUUCAUUGCUAAUGAAAUCACCACUUGUACUCAUGCCCCUAAUGUGAAAUCUCCGCUUGGGCACCCAUCAUUGAUCACCCAGUUGUGUGAGCUGGUAGGAGUAGACGUCUCCACCCCUCCAUUUGAAAUGCCCCGCAAAGCAAUUGAUUUGUGCUACUAUGAAAAAUAUUGUCUUGAUGAAGAAGACAUUGUCAUCCCACCACCCCAGUCACCCAGGAGCCAUCAUGGCUCUCGCCCCCCCACUGAUCCAUACCAAAUUUUUGACAUGAAGUUGGCCUUAAUUGAUGCUAAGUUGGAGGCCGUCAACCGGAUUGGGUUGGUUCAAGCUGAAAUGAUGCGUCAUGUGUUUGCCUCUUCUCACCCUGGUUUCAUCACACCCGAAGAGUAUGCUUCUCGAGUAGCCUGGCCUGGGGACCAGCCCCAUUCUACCGGGGGAGGUGGAGCCAGCUCAUAUGGUGCAGCANCUGAUGAUGAUGAGCAAGAGGAAGCAGAUGACGAGGAUGAUGCUGAUGAGGAUGCAGAUAUGAAUGAAUAGAGCACAUCAUGAGUUUCAUAGGACCUGUUUUAUUUUGCUUUCUUUUGUUUUGUUUCCUAGUUUAAUAGCUGAACUUGGUUGAAAUUUAGUUUUUAGUUUAGGAUUUAAUGAACAGUUUGCAUUCCAACUUGGAUGUUUUGGUUGAGUUAUCUGGCUUUAUAGACUAUGCUGAUCCAUGAUGCUUAUGCUUGAAUUUGAAAUGAUGUUUGAGAUGGAUCAAGUUAGUUCAAAUUGUGUUGUUGUCUUCAGGAAAUGUAUGAGAAUGCCUUAUGUUUAAUUGCGAUCAGUAUUUAUGGCAGUUGCUUGUUGAUGUUUGUGGAAUCUUGAGUCAACCUUGUGAGAUGUUGUGCCUUAUAUUUUUCUUAUGAAUACUAUCAUCUUAGAUCACAACUGACUUUGCCUGAGUUUCUCUUGUUUAUAUCAUUUGCUUGCUUGUCACACAUGAUCAAGGCCAUGUUUUUCUUCUACCUCAAAGAAGCCAAUACAAACCUGUUGGACCCUAAUGAAAGAUGUUUUCCCUCUUUGAACCUCAAACCUAAUGAAAAACCCCUGAAUUCUCUACCUUGAGCUGAGUAGACUAUUCAUGUUUGCUGCAAGAGAAUGGUUUAAAGUUGGGGGAGUUUGUUUUGUAAGGAUGUAUUGAGAAAAAUACAAAAAUAGAAAAAUGAGAAAAAAAAAAGAAAGAAAAAGAUAAAGAAAAAGAAUUGAAUGAAAGAAAGUUGGGAUAUAAGUCAGAAAGUGGUUGAAAUUGAAGUGAAGCAAAAGAGAAACUGAUGUGCAUGAUUUGAACUGUUUGAUCUCUUAGCUCAAGGUACUUUGUUGUCCUAAAAAACCAUUUUUCUUUCUUAGCCCGGCCACAAUACAAGCCAAUGAAAGUUCUUGCGAUGCUGACUUGCUUGUGAAUGUGUUUAAGUUGGUUGAAAUGAAUGGCAAGUUGAGUUGUGUGACAUUGUGAUAGUAGAGUGAUAGACACACACCCUUAUACAGUAGAGCAUUAGAGCGAGACACUAUCUUUGGUGAGGAUUGGUUCUACUUAAUUCAGUAAAGCAUUCUGCCAUGAUCAUUGAUCUCUUUUAAACUGUGGCAUUUGAUUGAUUGAAUGUUUGAUGAGCAUCACAGUGGAAGACUAAUUUGUUACACAUUUCUAGUCAUUUCAAGCUAGGCAAGUGUUGUGGAUUUUGUUGAGUCUGUGAAAAUAUUUUUUUGUGUUAUAGCCAGAUACCUUUUGAUUGAGGACAAGCAAGGUUCUAAGUUUGGUUCUUAGAGGCACUUCAGCAAAUGCCCUCAUAUGCCAAAUUUCUAAAGGAACUUCUCAUGUAAAAGAGGAAGUAUGUUGAGAAGGAAACCAUUGAAGUGCAAGGAAAUUGUAGUGCAGUUAUAUAAAGGAGAUUACCUCCUAAAUUGCAAGAUCUAGGGAGUUUUACUAUCCCAUGCACCAUUGGAGAGUUAGAAGUGGGGAAAGCUUUGAUUGAAUUGGGAGCUAGCAUUAAUCUAAUGCCUCUUUCCAUGUUCAAAAAGAUCAGAGGAUUAGAACUGAAGCCGACAAGGAUGACUCUUCAAUCGGCAGACAGAUCUCUUAAAUAUCCAUAUGGAGUGGUUGAAGAUGUGAUAGUUAAGGUGGAUAAAUUUUUAUUCCCGGUAGAUUUUUUUGUUAUGGAGAUGGAGGAAAAUGGAGAUGCGCCUUUGAUUCUUGGAAGACCUUUCAUGAAGACAACCAUAAUUUUAAUUGAUGUGGAGAAUGGUAAGCUGAAGGUCAGAGUACAGGAUGAAGAGGUAAAUUUUGAUGUCUUCCAAGCAAUGUCAUAUCCUAAAGAUAAAAAGUCAUGCUUUCAAAUAGACAUUGUGGAAGAACUUUGUAGGCUGCAAGAUAAGAGAAUACGAAAUGCAUCUGCAUUGGAGAGGACUCUCAUUAAUGAAUGUGAAGAUUUAAAUGAAGAAGAAGACAAGAUGAUUGAAGAAUGUCUUCGUGAUUUGGAGGUAACAAAGGAAAUUUCAACAGAAGAGGUCAGUUUUGAAAGAAUUGAUCCCAAAGAGAAAGUGAAAGAAAGUAAGCUUGAAUUAAAGGAAUUACCACCGCAUUUGAAAUAUCAUACACAAAAACCAUCACAGACCUUGAUCAGGAUUCUGCUCACCAUCACAGCCAGACAGCAUGGAGGACUCCCCUUUAACACCGAUUACCAGCUUAGAAGAGAGACCUCAUGGAGCGCAAAAAGAGGGUCACCUGCCUUCAUCUGGAUUGUCAUCUGUUCAACUUUCUUGCGCCUUCAAGAGCAUUUGAUAACCAAAGGAAAAUUCCAAUCAAGCAAGCAGAGGGAACCAUAAUCAAAAGGAGAAGUUCUUGUGAAACUGCGAAGGUAAGUUCUCCUUAGCUUCCUCGCUCACAAGUGAUAAAUGUUAGAUAACAUGCGUAUCUGCUUCGGGUUUUGAUUGGAUAAUGCCUAGUUAUGUCUACUUGAAUGUGCAUUUAUAUUGAACGACUUUGUCUGCUUGAACAUGCAAUAUACAUAUGAUUUGCUUAUGUGCGCUUUUUGUUAUUCCUCCAUCCCAACAACAUAAGCGCGUUUCACCACCUUCAACCAUUAGAGACAAACAUUCUCCCUGCAUAACCCAAACCUGCGAAGUGAUAUGCUGCAUCGUAGCCCAAAUUCCAGUAACCUGUGCUUUGCAGAUACAUCAUCUUCCCAACAAACCGAAACCCAAGAUUAUUUCAGCUCUUCUUAUUCCUCUAUUAUCUGUCAACGCCUACAACCCAUAUAGACACCCCCAUCAAUUUUGAUUUUUGCCACAAACUGUUUCUCUACAAGAAAAAGAAGGACAAACCCCAACCCCUCAAAUUGGUUACGGCUCUGUUCAUUACCAAUCAUCAACAGAGGAAUUGAAUCCUUAAGAAAGAAAGCCACCAUAGAGUGAAAUCAACCCAAGCUAAAAUAAAGAACAAAGACCAAUUUCCAGCAUCCACACACAAGCUAGUACUCCACCUAAACUAAACCGAAACGAAAAUCCGCCGCUGUACCAUCCAUCAUCACCUUCGACCACUCAACGUCAAUCCCCGUUUUUAUUCAUUCUUAUCCAAUCUACAAAGAAGCAGAACAGGGAAGAGGGGAAGAAUUCAACGCCACGGCUGACGGUCCUCUCAGCGGUAAGCAACGGUGUGGGCGGCGCCUUACGCCACACCACGCGACGGCUGGUUUCGGUGGAGGCGGCAAGGAUCGUUCAAGCCAUGAAGAAGCGCGAUGCUGCUCUCUCACGCAUUGGAGAAGGAAGAAAAUCCGGUGGCCGGCGUCGAAUCCGGUGACGAGCAGCAUCACCGGCGCGGUCUUGGCUCACGGCUUGUGGUCUUCGACGGUGGAAGCUAGGGCUGACUGAGUGAGUGGAAAAGGGAAGACCCUGGGUCUCACAUAAUGCAAAUGAUGGAAUAGGAUGAGGAUGUGAGGACCCCUGAGGGUUUCUUGACCUGAGAAGCUAAAAAAGGCCUUGGGCCUAAGCUUCUAAUCCAACCUUUUGUUUAAAAAAAAAGUAAAAAAGAGAAAAGGAAGAAACCAGACAUUUUUUUUCUCCUUCGCGCACUCCCUAUAUUUCACUUGUGCACCAUGGUGUUCAUCCCCUUGGCUUGGGCUCAAGCCCAUUUUGAUUCUCCUUGAACAAAAUAAAUAAAUCGAAAUUUCUAUUUUCCUUGCACCCCUAUUUCUACUAAAUAUCUCACCCCCAUCCAGUUUGGACUUAAGCCCAGACUGUUUAUAAAUUGGUUUGAACACCCUUCUUCUUGUCUACGCACCACCACACCUUUUUUACUUAUUAUUUUGUUUUUAUUUUAUCACAUAACCUUUUAGUUUAUUUUAUUUUUACUUUUUAUUUUCAUUUAGUUAUUUACCUAUUUAUUUUAUUUCUAUUUUUCUACCUUUUAUUUUUGUUUUUCUAUUUACAUAUUCAUUUUAUUUUAUCUACUUUUAUAUAAAUAUUAAAAACCACAAAAACAAAAAAAUGUUUUAAAGGUUUAAGUAUGUGUGUGAUCGCUGACAUCGUCCUCGUGCUGAGACCUUUUCUUCUUUUAUAAAAAAUAUCACAAAAUGUUUUAAGGGUUUAAGCACGUGUGUGAUCGCACGCAUCGUCCUCGUGCUAAGACCUUUUCUCAUUUUAUAAAAUUAAAAAAUAUGUUUUAAAGGUUCAAGCAUGUGUGUGAUCGCACGCAUCGUCCUCGUGCUAAUACCUUUCCUCCUUUUAUAAAAAUUAAAAAAUAUGUUUCAAAGGUUUAAGCACGUGUGUGAUCGCACGCAUCGUCCUCGUGCUAAGACCUUUUCUCCUUUUAAUAAAUUAUCAAAACUGUUUUAAGGUUUAAGCANAUCGUCCUCGUGCUAAGACCUUUUCUCCUUUUAAUAAAUUAUCAAAACUGUUUUAAGGUUUAAGCACGUGUGUGAUCGCACGCAUCGUCCUCGUGUUAAGACCUUUUCCCCUUUCAUAAAAUUAAAAAUAAUAUUUUAAAGGUUUAAGCACGUGUGUGAUCGCACGCGUCGUCCUCGUGCUAAGAACCUUUUCCCUUUUUUAUAAAAAUGCUAAAAUGUAAAUAUUUCCAAACAACAAACAAUAGUUCCCAGAACUACGUAAUCCUUGAUUCUCCAUCAAAAAUGGAGAUACGUAGGAGCGAUGCCAGGCCGUGUCAAGGUCACUUUCCAAAAAAUCAAAAUUUAUCCACCAUCUUUUUUCAAGCAAAUUUUCCAAACAAUUUCUCAAACAAAUCGUUUUCAAAUAGUCAGAACUACGUAGCCUUGAUUUCUCAUCAUCCUUAUCGGGUACAAAAAUAGAAAAAAACAUAUUUUGUUUCUUUAGAAUUUUAUUUUUAGGGAUAGUUAGGCAUCUUGAGAACCACAUCACAUUCACGUAUUUAAUUAAGGGUAUUGUCUUAGGGCAGGCGUUGUAGGGUGCUAAUACCUUCCCUACACGUAACCGACUCCCGAACCCAUGGUUUUCGUGGACUGUGCUUUAUCAUUUUAUGGUUUUUCCGUAGUUUUCCAGAAUAAACUAUGGUGGCGACUCCAAAAUCUUUUUCAAAACCCGUUUCUUUUUUUGGAUCGUCGUCCCGUCGCGAUUCCGGUUGCGACAAUACCCUUUUUGAACCUUGGCCUUAAACAAUAUGAAAACCAUUGUUUGAAUUGAUUUACCUUGAGUUGGGUUGAGAAUAUUUGUAUGUGUUGAAAAACUUCAAGUUUGGGGUUGUAUGGGGAAAGUUGAAAGGCAAAAGAAAAAGCAGUGAGUUUAAAAGUUGAAAAAAGAAAAAGCAUGAGAAAAAGAAAGGAAAAGAAGAAAAGAGAAAGAAACAUGUAAAGUAAACUCAAUGUAAAAGGAAAAAGGGAAGAAGUUGGGAAUGAGUGAGAUUGGUUAAAAUAAGAGUGUGCUUGAACUUUGAAUGAUGAUUUAAAACUCUCUUAACUCAAGGAUUUUGUAUUCCAGAAAAACCAUUUUUUCUUGAUAGCCCAACCUCAUUACAAGCCUUGGAAAAGUCCUUGUGAUGACAUUUGCACGUGAGGAUUUUGAUUGUUCUAGAUGAAUGGAAAUAUUGUUUUAUGUGACAUGUGAACAACAGAGAGUAGAGUGACCUCCUAAACACUUGAAUGAUUGAGUGAAACACUUGCUUGGUGAGAAUUGUUGAAAUCCAUAUAUGCUUAGUGGAUUGAUCAUUCAUGAACAAAACAUCUGUUGGGAAAGAAUUGAUUGUGUAAACUAAAUUGGAUUGAAAGCAUGCAUGCAUCUUUAUAGGAUUCCACUAAAAGUCUAAAUUGUAUAAUAACUUGUUGUGAGAAAAAGGAAUUUUUGAAAAGUGUUGAACUAUUUGAUGAAGAAGUGGAAAGCCACGUUUUGUAUUGUUUGCUUGAGGACAAGUAAAGUUCUAAGUUUGGGGUUGUGAUAACGGUCUAAAAACGUUAUUUUCAUACUUAAAUUUGAUAUCAAAACACACCCUUUAUGGCUUAGAAAGAGCUUAAAGUCAAGUAAAACAUUUAGUUGAGUCAUGAGAGAGUCAAAAGAUGGUUUUAGAGAUAUUAUGCUUGUUUUACAUUAUUUUGCAGGGUUUUAAGGAGAAUUGAAGAUGAAAGUGAAGUAAGGUGGACUUAGACCCGUGAAGGAGGAAGAAAAAGGAUGAAAAGAAGGGCCAAUUGAACCGCUGAGUGCCAGAAUGGACCGUUGAAUGGUUUACUUAGGCGCCUGGGCGGUUGUCUGUUUUUAUUAGUUUAGAUUUUGUAAUCUUUCUGUUAUCUUUUUGGCUUAUAUAUAGCCCCAGUGCAAAUCAAAAUGUAAUCUUUUGAUAGAGAGAAACGUCCAGAGCUAUUCCACACACCUUGGAGGAGGUUCCUUGGAUGCUUAGGCUCUAAUCUAUCAAGUUUAGGGUUAUUUCUUCCAUUCUUUCAUUAUAUUUCAUCUAGAUUCACCAUGAUUAUGGUCAACUAAACCCUAGGUUGCUGGGGAACAAUGUAAUCUUUUGAAACUCUCUUAUAUCCAAAUUCUAAUCUUCUUGAUAUGCUUGCAUAUGCUUAUCUUUAUCAAUUGUUGGGUUCUUUACCUUUGCUUAAUGCUUUUAUCGUUUAAAUCAUUCGGUAAAUGUUAUUUAUCUUUAUUGAUACGGGAAUGUACAAUAAUGUCAUGAACUGGGGGGAAUUCCUUAAUUAUCCUAAUACCGCCUAGGAAUAGGAAUAGGACGAUCAUAUCAAACAAGAACACUAGUAUAGGAACAAUUGCUAAGUCCUAGAAUAACAAGCAGAAAAUGAACAAAAUUAACUAUAUCAAUCAUACAAGAUGAGUCCUAACAACCACAUCUUUUUUUAUUAAAAAAAAUCAUACUUGGAGAAUGAGACUGCAAGAUGCAAGAGUUCAGGAACAAAACCUGCAGAAGAAGUAUUCCAAGAGUUGUUGAACCAAAUCUUGUUGUAAGCUCACCUUUCUCUGCUAGAAGCUACAAAUACAUAUAUGAUUGAUAAGUUGAAUUAUCCAUAUUUAAUGUCACACAUGACAGAGGAUUCAUGCAUGGGGAACACUUAAAAUUAAACCUUGUUUGACGGAAAAAACAUGCUUAGUUUAUAUAAAUUUUCAUAUUGUACUUUUAAACACUUUAGAAUCAUUUCAAACAAAAUUCACUCAACAUAUACUUUGUCAGGUCUGCCAAACAUGCCCUUAAUGAAGGGAAACCAACUGCCGCAUAUAAGAAAACCAAAAGCAAACAGUCAUGAACAGUGAGAUGGAUCUCAAACCUGCUUUAUUCCCUUUAAUAUUGCUUGAACUGUUUCUGGCUUAGUAACAGCUUUCUGCUUGUGGCCUUCACCUUUUGAACCACCCAAAGAUGAAAAUGGGACUAAAGGUGACAAAACAUGUACUUCCUCAGAUGAAUUUGCCAGCAAUGGAGCAGUAUUUGAAAUUCCCUGAAACGGAAAUAAUCAAGUAAUAAAAGAAAAAAGAUGAAGGUAAAAAGAGAGUAGCAAAUCAACAAUAAUCCAUGCAGAGCCAUAAAAUUAUGAAACUUAUAACAGUAGCUUAGUAAGCCUAGAGGUUUUAGUUUGAUGCUUUGGAAAAUAUUAAAUAUGAACAAACCUGUUUAUUAAAAUCUCCAAACAUGAUUGAGUAUGAUCACAAAGUCUAAGAAAUUGUUCGCACAAUUUAGGGCGCAACAACAAGAAUUGUUUUGAAAGUAAUUUUGUUUUCAAAUAAAAAAACAAACUAUAAAGAAAGAAGUGAUAUAGAAAUAUAGGAGGAUAAGAUAUUCCUGACAAGACAACUAAUUAAAGAAAAGAUUAUAAAGAACCAACAAAACAGAAGCGAAGAGUAACAAUAUUAAAAUUUAUCCAACUAAAAUCAUAUCUAAUUCUUAAUUAUAAGGCAGGACAUCUAAACCCUAAGUUUGGUUCUUUGCAACCAAAACUUACAUACUGUAUGGCACAAACAGAGGUAAAAUAAAUAUUUUAACCUUUUCUCUUUAAUUACUAAAAUAACUUCUCAUACCCUUUGACUUUUUAAUAUUAAUAAAAUACCAUAACCUGUACACUUUUAAAGUUUUUUCUCCUUCUAAAUAAAACAUAAAGUAGAAUAAGGAAAAUUAAAAACUAAAAUGAAAUAAUAAUGAGGAAAUAUAAUAGAACCUUUUUGAACCCACCUACGUACUACCUCAAUCUUCACCUCUGUUACGUAAAGAAAAGGGAAAUAAAUAUGUUUUUAUUAUUUACUCUCAAACAAAAAAAUCCAUCCAAUAAUUUUAUAAAAGCACCUUUGUCUCUCCUAGUAAUGCUCUUCAAAAACUAUUUCCUCACUCUGCAAACUCUAACCAUAUGGAGUUCUGGACUAGAAUGUAUAUUUUUCCUUAAUGGACAUACAAUGACUGAGCAACAAGUGAAUUUAAGGUUAAAUAGAGUACUUACCAUAGUGUUUGACAUCAACACUACAUAAAUAUAAACAAUCACAUAAAACAAUAUAUUUAUGAAUUCUAUUUCAUGGUUAUGAAUGAUUUAACCCUGUAAAAAGUAGAAAAAUACAUCGAUUUAACUCUGCAGAAAAAUACAUCGAGCUUGUGAAGUGGAUGGUUAUGAAUUCUAUUUCAUGGGGUUCAUAGCAUAUGACAAGGCUCUCAAGACUAUAAGAGAAGUUUUACAGCAAUAUCACAACCAUUCCAGAGAAGCUUGAAUGAUCAAAAAGCAUGAAAUAUUUUCCAUAUAUAUAUAUAUAUAUAUAUGAUAGAGACACCUUAGAAUUACAAUGUUCCCUUCAUAUGUCAAAAGUGAGAAUUUGUGUUUAGGCAAGGUAUUCUGAGUUAGAUUUUGUUGAAAAUAUUAAUAUAAUUUAAAAAGAAAUUGAUUUUAAUCCCAACCAUAUUGAAUUCCAGAUAACAUCAAUCAUACAUGGUACUUCUAGAUAUUAUCAAUGAGAAAAACAAAUGAACCAUCCACUUAAAAGUCCCUAAGGAUCAAUAUUUGGAGUAGUAAAUGUUUGAACUCCACUUGUUUUAUUACUCUCAAUCCACAAGUUUAACUACUUUUUUAAUGAGCUAUUUCAAUAUUGUUCAAAUAGAAAAAGCUUAACUUCAAAAGUUGUGUGCCUACCAAGAGAAACAGUGAAACAACCAAUCAUAAUAGCUCUGUUGUCACAAAAAAUUUCAUCUCUAGUUAUACCAUUAUUCCAUUUUUCUAAAAGUGCACCAGAUUAUAGUUAUACCAAAUAUCAAAGGCUGUAAGUAAAAUAGUUGCAACUAAGACAACUCUAGCUUGAUCACAUAUACCCCAUAAGAUUUCUGUAUUCUCAAAAGUAGAGUCUAGUUGUUGAAAGUAGUACCAUUUUCUGUGCGUGGUGUCCAUUUUGGAUUUAGGAAUCAUAGAUAGAUAAUUUGAGUAUUUUGCUAAGAUUAAUUAGAAUAAUCCAUUAGUAUGCAUAAUGGUGGAAACUAAUUCUAUCAUUGGCAAGAACUGAAACAAAAGCAAGGCAAGAAUUGAAACAAAAGCAAGGAAUGACAUACUUCUUCUCCUUUCACCAUCAAGUAAAUAUAACAGUGAAAGAUAUUUAAAAGAUAUUUAUAAGAUGAGAGAGGGUGUAAGAAGUAUUUAUGCCUAUAAAAUUAAACUAAAAGAUAAUUAGAUUUCGCUUUCUUAGAAAAAUAUCUCUAUAUAUAUAAUGACUUACAAACAACAUUCGAAUGAAUUCACAUACGCACUGCAUUCGUAUAUAAUUAUAACUCUNCAUAAUUAUAUGCAUAUUUAAUCUAUAUUAACUACUUACCAAAUAAACUCAUAAAUAUUAUAUUCAAUUGUUUGACUUUAUCUAUGGUAAAUAUAUAUCACGUACAUUUAAACUAAGAAAGUGCGGGGUAAGGUUAUGUACUUCUAUAGAUCUUAUAUAACAAAGUGGUGGGGAGCUUUGUGAUUGAGCUACCUUUUGCUUUUUGAUUCUAUUUAUUUCUUUUAAAUUUGACCUGCUUCUUCCAUGAAGUUUGUAUCAACCUUUGCUAAGACUCCAAGCGUAAGUUUGAGUUGCAUAUUGAGUAAAAAUGAUAAAGUUGAGCAAUAUAUGAUGAAGAAAACUCAAACUCAUACCUUGAGAUUUUGGGUCGAAGGUAGUAUUGUAGUCUCUUGUGUGGGUUGACUCAUUGGUGUCAAAUCUCCCUAUUAAAUUUCCAUUCAUAAAACUCAACAAUGGUAUUAUAAAGUUGACCUUGACUUGUCCUUCAGAUACGAGAUGUAAAAAUAAUAGUGUUUAGUGGUCUAAAACAAAGAAACAAUAAAGAGUGCCUUGAAUGGAAGGAGUUGUCUGCCUUACUCAAAGUCAGAAUACAAUUCUUCCUCAUUCUUUAUAUAUAUAUAUAUAUAUAUAUAUAUGUCUAUAUGUCUAUAUAUAUAUAUAUAUAUAUAUAUAUAUAUAUAUAUAUAUUCAAUACUUAUGAUCUUAAACCUGAAUUAAUGAAUUUUUGAAGGAUAAUGAUAUUUAGACAACAUUUUUUACAAUAUUUGAACAUUGAUUGUGUGUUAAUAUGUGAUUAGUCAAAAAUUACUCCACAAUCAAUAAUNNNNNNNNNNNNNNNNNNNNNNNNNNNNNNNNNNNNNNNNNNNNNNNNNNNNNNNNNNNNNNNNNNNNNNNNNNNNNNNNNNNNNNNNNNNNNNNNNNNNNNNNNNNNNNNNNNNNNNNNNNNNNNNNNNNNNNNNNNNNNNNNNNNNNNNNNNNNNNNNNNNNNNNNNNNNNNNNNNNNNNNNNNNNNNNNNNNNNNNNNNNNNNNNNNNNNNNNNNNNNNNNNNNNNNNNNNNNNNNNNNNNNNNNNNNNNNNNNNNNNNNNNNNNNNNNNNNNNNNNNNNNNNNNNNNNNNNNNNNNNNNNNNNNNNNNNNNNNNNNNNNNNNNNNNNNNNNNNNNNNNNNNNNNNNNNNNNNNNNNNNNNNNNNNNNNNNNNNNNNNNNNNNNNNNNNNNNNNNNNNNNNNNNNNNNNNNNNNNNNNNNNNNNNNNNNNNNNNNNNNNNNNNNNNNNNNNNNNNNNNNNNNNNNNNNNNNNNNNNNNNNNNNNNNNNNNNNNNNNNNNNNNNNNNNNNNNNNNNNNNNNNNNNNNNNNNNNNNNNNNNNNNNNNNNNNNNNNNNNNNNNNNNNNNNNNNNNNNNNNNNNNNNNNNNNNNNNNNNNNNNNNNNNNNNNNNNNNNNNNNNNNNNNNNNNNNNNNNNNNNNNNNNNNNNNNNNNNNNNNUAUAUAUAUAUAUAUAUAUAUAUAUAUAUAUUUUGUCUUCCUCUUAUUCUUUAGGUUGAAAUUAAAUCAUUGUAAAAUUUAUAUUUUCUUUCAGACUGAAUAUUCAAAGCACAUAUCGUUGCUUGUAAAGAUUUUAGAAGGUUUAGUUUUUAGAAGUUAUAUCAAAGAUAAAGUUCUUCAUAAUGAAGAGGUACAUAUUGUUCGAGUCAAUGUUUUACUAUUAUUUUUUUCUUCUCCUACUCUCCGAUUUUCCUUUACAAGCUUAUAUUGAUGAAAUUUUGUGUUAAUAAAAGUAUUCAAUUAGUAAUGCGUGAAUGAUAUUAAAAGGCUAGUUCUUUGAAAAUUGAGUACACUUUGUAGAUAAUUGAUGCAGCAAAUGAGGUUAUUGACAGUGUUGAUAAAGAAGAGUUAGCAAAAAAUUUUUGCACUAAAGCAUGAUCCAGGAGAUGAGGAAGUAAAGGUGCUUAUCUAUGUUCCCUAUCCUUUUAAUUAUCCCUGCCACUGACAUAGCAUGUGAGUGUUGUUUGUUCAGAGCAUUUUUCAAUAUUACAUGAUUAGUUGUGAUUUUGGCACUUGGAUAGGAAAUUGAAAACGAACAUUUAUACCCUGAUAAUGUAUAAAGUAGUUAACUGAGAGAGAUGCACAGACAUUGGUAUUGAAGAAAGAAUAGAGGAAAAAUAUUGAAACUAAAGUGCCACAAAUUUGUUUUCAUAGACAAAAGACUCAAAGAUGGUAUCUUUGAAUUGUCUUUAUUUUGAAGCAUGUAGAGUUGUAAGUGAUUAGGGGUCUCACUUUAUUCAACAUACUGAUGGAGUAAAACAUCUACACACACUAAAUAAGUUUAGUGCUGAUACUCCAAAGUCCAAACGAAACCAGCAUGAAAGAAAAAUGCAUAAAAGCAAUGAUAAACUCAUAAAAACAACAAAAAACAGAGGCAUGAGCUUAGGUUAACUAAACCUAUUUCAUAAUACCCAAAUGAACUAGUACUCUUCAGCAGGCAAAGGUUGAUAAGGAGGAGGCUCAAUUGGGAUAGCAACGAAUUCAUAUUUAUUUGUUUGCAGCGAAGAUGAAUAAUGUGGUGCAAUAGUGCUCAAGAAGCCUUAGGAAUUCAUAUUACUGGUAAUAAUAUUCAGUGACUUAAAGCAUAGAUUACUACACUACUUUUAACCCUAAAAUAUCAAUUCACCAAUACAUACAUGAAUCAACUUAUAAUUGUAGAUAUACAUUAGUUUGUGAUCUUCUUGAUGAACCUACACUUCGGUUCAACUACAUGGACGAUCCUGUUCUUUAUCGUUCUACGGUUGGUGCUUUACAAUAUGUUACUAUUACAAAAGCCUAGAAUAAGUUAGUGUGAACAAGGUCUGUCGUGACCUAGCCUUUAUUGGACCACUAGAACGCUGUCAAACGAAAACUUUAUUGGACAACUUUCGCCUAUGACUCUCUUCAAUGGGUAUUACACUUUAAAUGCUUAUUGCAAUAAAAGAAAGUGCACAAGAAAACAGUUACCUCUUGCACGAAAGGGAUGAUUCUUGACACCCUACCUCCACAACGACCUCCCUACACCACGACAGCCAAAGAAUGUGCAGGAAUCCCUCAACCGAAGCACUAAUCGCCCAACCACAGUACCAAUCGCCUCUGCUCAGGACACCAACGUCCUCACCACACCGUCAAUGGCCCACACCCUUCACGUCAAUGACCCAAAUGCACCUUCGCUGACGAAAAACACGAGAGCAGCUUUGCCGAGGAAGAACCACGUCCAACUUUAGGAGUGAAGAAAGCGCUAUUAGGUUUUUACAGCACUGGACGAAGUAAUUCGACGAGAGGGAAAUCCCAAAUUGUUAUCUGAAUUCAUGGAACACCUUACCGACGGCCUAAGGUCCUUCGGUAUUUAAAAUCACCAAAGCUUUACCAACGACUCUAAGGCCUUCGGUAAAAGUCUGCCGGUAAUUAGCGCUUUUACUGUAGUGCGGUAGGCUUCGUUUUAACACCAAGAGGGGGGGGGUGAAUUGGUGAGUUUUCAAAAUCAGAGUCUUUUCACAAUCUUUAUAAAACUUACAAACUUUCUUGAAUUGCAAGUAAUAGAAAAUUAAGUGCAGCGGAAAAACAAAGUUGACUACCAGAAUUGUAAAGUCGACUGAAUAUAAAAGAGUAGGGAUAGAGAAUUCAAACACAAGUUUUUAUAUUGGUUCGGCCUCAAUGGCUACAUCCAGUGUCCUUCCAAUGCCAGGAAGAAAAUGCACUAUAAUGGUCAAGGUUUUUACAGCAAGGCUUUUAUAGAAGACCUCCACGUCAAAAAUAUAAAACACCUCUCUAACCCUCUAACCAAAAUAUAGGCAGCAACAAUACAACAAGACUUGUAGCAAGAUAUCCCCUCUCAUGCAAUCUGCAACCCACUUUGAACAAUCCUCAAAGUGUACCAGACUCCACGAGUCCAACCCUUGUAGUCACAACAGGUAACAACAAUUACCACGGAUGCCAACAAGAAUCUUGAUCAACCUAGAAGUACCUCAAUGUGCAGAUACUGAUCAAGCAGUGUGUGCAACACAAUUCUCCUUUAGAAACUCCUCAAAGAAAGAUCACAAUCAUCUUCUUGAUGAGUUCAUGGAGCAAAAUUCCUUCAAAGAACAAUCUAAAACAGAAUACGAAAGUGUUAGAUUUUCCAAAAGUUCUUUGAAACAACUCAGGUCUCGUCUAUUUAUAGAUUUCUAUAAACCAGACUCUCCUGUAGUCGAUUAUACUACUAAUACAGUCGACUGAAUUAAAUCAGUUAUAACAGUUAAGACGCAAUAGUAGUAUUUCAGUCAAACCAAUUAACUUCGUAGUCAAAGCAGUUGACUAUCAUUCAUUGCUCAACUAACUUUUAAAAAUAUAGUCGUUAUUGUUCAUGAGCACAACAAAAUUUCAAACCAAGCAACUAAUGCAGUCGAAUGCAUGGCGUAUAUAGUCGACUUCAACAUGUCAGAAUAUUUCAAAAAUUUUUCCUUUACAAAAUCUCACAUAGCACUAUUUCACAAAAUAUGUACAAAGACUUUUAGUAUAGUCGAUUCAAUUUAUAAUAAAGUCAACUUUACUCUCAGCUUUGUCACACAGUUUUAAGUUCACAAGAGUGCAUCUGGUUUUCAUCUAUCAAAACAUGUGAAAUGCAUUCAGAUAUGAUAUAACAUGUAUAAGCAUAGUAAAUAUGCAUUCACAUAUCAAUAGACACACAUAAACAUGUUCAAAAAGAUAUCAAUCAAUAAGUACAAAACAUGCAAAACAUCAACAACGUAUGUGGUAUUAAUAAAUGUGUUGCCAUCAUAAAAAACCAGAGUGAUAUAGAUAUUGUGUUGUCAACAAUCUCAACAUAAAACACAUCAGUCAUUCAAUUUUAAUGCACAAUGUCAAGCGUCUGAGACCACUUAACGGUUAGGGUAAAAUUGACUCAUUUUUACAAAAAAUAAGACUCAAGUGAGAUAGUUGCAAAAAUAAAAACUGAACUGAAAUAACCAUACAAAAAUGAGAACCAAUCGAAAGUUUAAACCUAUAUUUUUUUUAAGAAAGAAAAUAAAAAAGAAUUAAAAAUAAAUGUUUAUAAUAGUUUUUUUUGUCUUAAUAUAUAUAUACUACUCCAAGUAUUAAAAUUGCAUAAAUAAGCAAAUAUUCCUUUUAAAUUUGAUUUUUCUGUAAAACAUUUCUUUUUAUAUUUAAUCCAUCUAUCGAAAUGUUAUUUCUUUUAUUUAUUAUUAGUUUGUUAGAUUUAUGAUAGUUCGUAUGUCUAAAAGUACAUGGCUUUACAGUAAAUCUUUACAAAAUAUUAGAGUUGUCAAAAUAGAUACAAUUUAUGGGCUAAUCCGGCCUACUACGGAUUCGAAUCGGAUUUAAAAAAAUUAUAUUUUUGCUAUACUGGUCAUAUUUAAACUCGACUCAUUCGGUUGAAUCCGUGAUUGACCAAGUUGGUCCACCAACCCACUACCUAAUUUUAUUUUAUUAAAAUUUAAUUUUAAUUUUAUAAAAAAUAUUUGUUAUUUUUUUUAAAAAAAAAUUAUUUAAAUUCCUUAUUUUCAAAACUAAUUAAACACCUCAUGUUUAGAGUGAAUUUGGGAGUUAAAUUUGUUUAGAUUUGAAUUAUAGAAAUUUUUAAUUUUUUAUUUUAAAAAAUUAUAAUUUAAUGAAUCAGUGAACCAAGUGGUUCACGUUGAGUUAAAAUUUUUCUGACUCACUAAGAAAUGAAUCAGUGUAAACUGACUCACUAAAUGAUCAAUCUAUGAUAGACCAGACCGGAUCGCACCGAAUAACCCAUUUUGACAACACUACAUAUAUAAAUGUGCUUAAACAGAAGGUUAUAAGAACUUUUAGUACACAACAUACUCUAAAAUCGAUUAUAGUACUUCAACUAAUUUAAGCUUAAAAACGAUUAUAGUACUUCAACUAAUUUAAGCUUAACAGCUGAUUUUAAGGCAGUUGUUCAGUCUCUCACCAAAGUCACUUUCUGUUAAUUGAUUCAUCUUUCCUAUUUAACGUUGAAAAAGGUGAAAUUAAUUCUAUGAUGUAAAAUUAAAAACAAAUUUGAAAGAAUUCACAUCUUAAAAGGUGGCAUUGUAAAAGUUCUCUCCUGCUAGUGUUUUCUUAUGCUUAAUUAUAUCCAAAUCACAAACUAAAUACUGGUUCAGCUUUAAAGUAAAAAGAAAAGAAGUUGGGCGGCAUACGCUUUAAUAAUAAUGAUUCUGACUACAAAACUAAAACUGUCAUAAAUUGCAGGAAGAAAAAAUUUUCUAAACUAAAAUUGUCUCGUAUAUAAUUAGAAAUCAAUUUUAAAAUGGUAUAAAAUCUUUCACAAUAUCUACUCUAAAAGCUAACUUUAGCAUAUUCCGAUUAACCUGUUCUAUUUUUUCGUUCAUUUUUUCAUCUUUUGCCUCAAGUACUUAACCAAAUAAUAGAAAAUUGUGAGGGAAGUUGGAACAGGGUAAGCGAUAAUAAUCAAGACAUCAACUUCUAUAGAAAAUUGUGACUACAAAUCAGUUUGAAAUGACAACCAAAUUUGUAACAUUCAACUUCUAUACAAGAGGCAGGGAUGCGCUUUCCACGACAAAGAAACUGGUCAGAUAUUACCACUGUGUUCAGAUAUUAUCACUGUGUUGACCAGUACUUCUUGAAUCCGUAAAAACUCCCAACUACCUGUUAUGUCAAACAUUAUCAGAAGCUUAGAACAUUCAUCACAAGACAAUGUACUGCAGUAAGAAAUAUCAUGAUCAUAAGAUGUUAUUAUUGCAUCAGGACACACAUGUAUUGAGAAGAGCACAUGUAUUACCAAAAUCCUCUCUUUUAGAUACGGAUGAGUUUAAAUCUUCAAAACCUCUUGGGCUUCGAGUCUGCUAAUGAGACUCGUAUAGCUCUACCAUUCAAAUCCUGCAAAACACAGUCUUGGGUUUAAAUAUGUAACUGAUAAUGAUCCAAUGAGAAAAAGGUCUAUACAGCUACUAAUAUUAAAAUGGGUUUAAAAGGAUCUAUUUAACCCACUUAUUAAGAUGAAAUAUCGUAGACAUUUGUGCACGGCAGAGAUAUCUGCUUGAAUUCCAAAAUGGAGAUUUUUCAAACAAAGUGCAUGCAGGAAGAUUAACUUCUCUGAUCUGAAACGCUUCUUAUCUAAAAUCUAAAUAUUCCGUGCCCAUAUGACUUUAAAAUGUGAAUUGCGAAAAAGAAAAGGCACAACUUUGUUUUUAUGAGUCUUCUAAACAAAUGAUGAUAUAUGGAAGAAAAAGCAAACUAAAAAUAUCUCACACACACACUACUCUUCAGGAUUAGCACGCUUACCACACCAUCCAAGGACUCAAUUGCACUGCUGACUUCAUCGGCACUACUGUAAGUCACAAAUCCAAAGCCUUUUGAUCGUCCACUGUCCCUGUCAUAGACUACCCUUGCUUCCACGACAUUUCCCUGUUCCCGAAACAAUGACUCCAAUGCUACAUGGUCAACACCCCAAGCAAGAUUACCCACAUGGACUUUGUUUUUAUUAUCUGAAAAAUCACCACCACCUCCACCACCACCACCUCUGUUAGAACUUCUAAGACGAGAUGAACUCUCAUUCCGAGCAGGGGGUGGCCCAGCAUUCACUCUAAGGGCCCUUCCAUCCAGUUCCUAUGAAUUAACCAAAGAUUCAUUCCUUAGACAUGAUAAAGAAAUGAACAAAGAUACAUGGCGGUGACAGAUGAAAAAUACAUUCACAUUUCAAACCAGACAAAUUCAAUCUCAAACAACACUGUUUAGUUAUGCUUUUAGUCACCUUAACCACUAGCUUGUUGUAUUACAAGAAAAUUGCUGUUUGUAUAACAAACCAAUACCGAUACAUUGUUUCAAUUGUAAUCACCAAAAUCAGUUCUGCAGUCAAUAAAACAAAUUUUAAGUGAAAUUUGUAUGCCGAUGGUAAAUAGAGUUGAUUCUGGGAUUGAGAGCCACCAAGAGAUUGUCUGGCUGGUUUCAUAGUUUAAAUGCAAAAUUGAUUACCAACUCCAAUGAAAAUCAAAAACUAACUCCACUUUACCAAUCAAACAAAAAAGUAAUUCUUCCAAACACAAAUCAAUUUUAUCAACCUCAUUUCUCACAACAUCACCAAUCUAAAAAGAACCAGAGAAACGCUAACCCUUCAAACAAAAACCAUCUUCAUCAAAAAACAGCCAAACUAUAAACUCACAUAUCCAUUGAACUGCUGAACAGCCGCUUCAACCUCCUCAACCGUAGACAUUGUCACAAACCCAAACCCCCUGCUUCUCCCAGUCGUCUUAUCAUAAAUCACCUGCCCAAAACAGAAAACAAGUCACGACCCAUUUCAAUUCUGCCCAAAGGGCUACGGUAAAACCCCUCAAAAACCCAAAUUUGCAACCGAAACAUAAACAUCACCUCGACCACCUCCACAAUCCCAACACUUUCGAAGAGCUCUGCGAGCUGCGCACUGUCAACACUGAACGGAAGGUUGCCAACAAAGAGCUUAAGGUCGGGGGAGAAGCCCUGGGCGGCGGCAAAGGUGUCCUCUUGCUGGUCGUAGUCGGAGGAGAGGGCGACGCGGGGAAGGAAGCGAGAGGAGAGGGAGAAAGUGGGUUUGAGGAAAACGGUAGAAAUGGAGAUGGGUUUGGCGUUAGGGGUGAGGGAGAGAGAAGAAGAGAAGCAUUUGGGAGAAGAGAGAGGAUGCUGUGUUCUGAGAGUGAGAGUUGAGAGUGCAAGAGAUGUUGCAGAGGUAGACAUUGUUACAGAUAAGGUUUUGUAAGGAAGGAGAAGAAGUAGGGUUUAUGAAGGAAUGGGAGAGUUUAGGUGAGUGAGGAGUGUUAUAUUUAUGGGCAAGAAAGAAGAAAGAGCAUACUGAUAAGGUUUAUUCAUCAUCCAUUUACUACUCUAUCCUUCGUCUUUUUCACUCUGCC